rnacentral:tRNA from 1 species
GAGGCUGUGGCUCAGUGGUAGAGCGCUCACCUAGCACGUGCGAGGUACUGGUUCAAUCCUCAGCACCACA